rfam:Oryza sativa (indica cultivar-group) chromosome 12, whole genome shotgun sequence.
UUAAAGUGUAAUCAUAAGUUUUUCGUUCAACUUUGAUCGUCCGUCUUAUUAGAAAUUUUUUUAUUAGAAAAUUUUUUUAUAAUUAGUAUUUUUUGUUGUUAUGAGAUGAUAAAACAUGAAUAAUCCUUUACUUGUGAUUUAUGUUUAUUAAUUUUUUCAAAAUUUUUUUAAAUAAGACAGACGAUCAAAGUUGAGCGCGGCUGCAUUUAAA